CAGCUGGCAGGAGCUGUUUCCAAGUCUCGCUGUGGUGAAGGUCAUUAAGGGACCUUCUAAGAGAUUUUCCAUGCUGAGAAAGACAUCACAAGAGACAAGGGGCAAGGCUUAUUUGUUAAAAGAAGGUUGACUAAGGAAACCUGGCGGAAAGAUAAUAGUUUGACAGAAGUAGCAAGAAGGGAGGGGGAGGGCUGGGGAUUUAGCUCAGGGGUUCCAGCUGCCUGCCCGGUAAGUGAGGACCCGCGUUGAGUUCGAUCCCUGGUACCAAAAAAAAAAAAAAAAGAAGAGAGGGAGAAUAAGUGAUGGGGAGUGCUGGAGUUACCUGCAAAAGAAGAGCAAGGCUUGAGAAUGGAUGUCUGGAGACCAACGAUUCUGUUUCUGUAAAGGCUCUGGCUCAUGCUUGUGAAUUCCAGUUUAUCCUCACUCUACUUUGCAACUGCCUGCCCUUGGACUUCAAGCACCAGCAUUAGAUGUGAAGACAACAGCCUUCUAGAAACUGCUUAACCAGCUGUCUUUGUUUUGUAUGGUGAUGCAGGACUGUAAAAAUGACUGUGAUCUUGCUAAAUUGCCCAGGCUGGCCUUGAAUUUGGGAUCCUGCUGCUUCAGUUUCCAGAGUAACUGGGAUUCAGGGAUUGAACUCGGGACCUUGCGCUUGCAAGGCAGGCACCGGAACCACUGAGCUAAAUCCUUGGCCCCAGACAACAAUUCUGACAGUGGAGCUGCCAAGUGAUUGAAGAGGGGAAAGCAAGUUGCUCCAGAACCUGGGAAGAAGCAAAAGGCUGGUGGGACUUUGAGAGCUCCGUUGUCUCCUGGGCACAGCAGGAGCAGCAGCAGUGAAAACAACAUGUUCCUGAGUGGGGAAGCAAGGUACUUCAUGCACAGGGUUUGUAAGGAAGGAGAUAACUGUCGUUACUCGCAGGACACCUCUCGGACAAUCCCUACGGUAUACUAUGCAAUUAUUUCCAGCAAGAGUACUGCGUGUAUGGAGAUGGCUACAGAUAUGAGCACCGCAAGCCAUUGAAACAGGAAGAAGCAGUAGCUAUAGAUCUAACUGCAAAAGCACCCCUUGCCGCUGCCUCGAGUUCCUCCUCCGUCGCUGAAGCUCUCAGGGAGAUGAAUACAGGCGAGGCUGAGUCCAGAAAUGCAAAUUCCCCGCCCUAGGUACAGUACAGGGUCAGAGGACUGGGUGAAUGCCAUUGAGUUCUGCCCAGCCAGCCCUACUGUGACCACGCCGCCCCUGCCUGCACAAAGGUCCUGGUGCAGGGAUCAGUGCCCAAGGCAGAGUCUGAGGAGCUGGCUACGUGGAGACCGAGAAGCAGCUCUGCCCCUAAGCGCUGUGGGAGAACUGCGUGUGGUGACACCUGGGACAUGUGCGGGCUGCAGGUCCAGCUCCUGGUGGAUACAGUCCAGAGGUCCCAGCAAAUAAAAUCUUGCAUCGAGGCCCACGAGAAGGACAUGGAGCUGUCCUUUUCGGUGCAGUGCAGCAAGGACAUGGUGUGUGGCAUCUGCAUGGGGUACGAGAAAGCCAACCCCAGUGAGCGCCGCUUCGGCAUCCUCUCCAGCUGAGACCAUACCUGGUGUCUCAAGUGUAUUCGAAAGUGGAGGAGUGCUAAGCAUUUUGAGAACAAGAUCAUAAAGUUCUGGGCUGAAUGCCAGAUCACAUCUACAUUUGUCAUUCCAAGUGAGUGCUGGGUGGAGGAGAAAGAGAAGCAGAAACUCAUUCAGAAAUACAAGGAGGCAAUGAGCAAAGGCAUGCAGGUAUUUUGAUGAAGGCCAUGGGAGCUGCCCAUUUGGAGGAAACUGUUACUAAAUUUUUUUUUUUUGGUAUAGGGGAUUGAACUUGGGACCUUGCACUUGCAAAGCAGGUGCCGGAACCACUGAGCUAAUUCCCCAGCCCUUGGAGGAAACUGUUUUUACAAGCAUGGGAACCCUGAUGACUUAAAGAGGAGCCACAGAGACAGAAAGUGGGAACAUCAAGCAGAUACUGGGUCCAACAGAGGAACCACUUCUGGGAGCUCACUGAGGAAAGAGAGAACAGAAGCCCCUUUGACAAUGAUGAAGAAGAGGCUGUCACCUUUGAGCUGGAUAAGAUGUUGCUUAUGCUUUUGGCUGCAAGUGGGGGCAAUGAACUGACUGACACUGACAACGAGUGGGACUUGUUUCACGAUAAGUUGGAAGACUUUUGUGACUUGGACCUCUACCGGCUUUGCAUGGCCUGGGAUCGGCCUACCGAGCCUCAAACAGUAGAUGUCCCCUGUGCCGUAUGGCAGUGAGUUGCUCUCCUACUCAGGCCUCAACUCCAGGUGCUGUCGUGACCACUUACCGGGUCCUACCCCACCCCACUUCCCCAAGACUGUGUCAUUUUCUUGGUUGCAAAAAGUUACAAAAACAAAUCUUCAAGUUAGAAAAAAAAAAGAACCAGUAUAGCUGAACAUGGUGGCACACACUUGUAGCAAGAUCCUGUCACAAAGUAAAAUGGGCUGGGGAAGUAGGUCAGUGAUAGAAAGUCUCCUGGGUCCCAUCCCCAGAAAUGGGGGGAAAACAUCAGAGUGGUACAUUGGCUUCUACUGAAGACAUUGAAUAUUAGAUCACUAUGAAGUUUUGAAUUUAAAACUUAUGGGGGAACAUGAUGUUUAUAUUUAUCCUAAAUAACUAUGUAAAGGUAGUAUAGAGACAUGCAAGUGCUCUGAUGUUUUACUUCCCCAGCACUCAGUCCUAGGACACUCCUGGAGGAUACAUUUUAGCAAAAUGAGGAUGCGUGAUAUGAAAGGAAAAGCUCUGCACCAUGGAAACUGGAGAAACCCAGAGGAGCAAUGAGGACAGGCCCAGCAAGACCCAUGGCAUAGGGUUGUACAAGAAAGAAAACAGAGUAAUGGAAGUCACCAUAAUACCUAAAAUUGAUGAACUAUGACAUAGUAGCAUGUGCAUACUAUUUAGAAAAGUGGAAGAAAACAAGAAAAAAACAUUUCAGAGAGUUGAAAUUGGUUGGUCCUGGAGGAUGGGUAAAGGACAGUUGUGUUUUGUCAUGAAUCUGUGGCCUUUUUGUUUUUAUCUAUGUACAUUACUUGAUAAAAAUGGGAACACUUAUGUACUGCUGAUCCAAAUGUAAGAUGGUGCAGCCAUUAACCUUAGAAAGUUAAACACAGUUACACUAUGUCAGGGUUUGGAGGUGCUAUGUUGCUAUGUCCUCCAGGGCUCAGGGGCUUGGUCUCUACUGCAGCAAUAUUCAGAGAGGGUACUUUUUGGAACCAGAUGGAUCAUGAGGACUCUAACUUCAUCAAUGGAUAAAUCCAUUAAUGAAUUCAUAGCUCAAUGAGCUUAUUAGGAAGUGGAGUCUAGUUGGAAGAAGCAAGUCACUGGGGGUAUGGCUUUGAAGGGUGUAUUUUGUUCCCAGCCCCUUCCUCUCCAGCUCACUCUGCUUACUGACUGCCUUGAUGUGAGCAGCUUUAUUCUGCCAUGCCCUUGUGCCAUUCCUUGUGCUACGGAAUACAGAAUACAGCAAUGGAAGCAGAUACCAUAGACUGACACUUCCGAAACUGUGAGUCAAAAUUAACAUUCUUCCUUUAAGCUGAUUUUCUCAGGUAUUAUAUAACAGUGACAAGAAAGUUAAUACAGCAUACAACCCUGCAAUUUCAUUCCUAGCUAUAUAGCCAAGACAGGUGUUUGCAGGAAUAGUUCUGUAGCAUUCAUAAUAACCAAAAAUGCAAACAAUACAAAUGUUCAUCAGUUGAUGAACAGAGAAAUAAAAUGUGGUAUGUACAUCCAUACAAUGGAAGACUAUUCUGUAAAAAGGAAGGAAAUACUGAUACAUAUUACAACAUGGUGAAACACAAAAGGCCGCAUAUUAUAUAAUUCCAUUAAUGUCAAGUGUUCAGAAUAGGCAACUCUAUAUACACAAAGUUAAUUGAGUAGAUUAGAGAUGUAGCUCAGUGACAGAGUGUGUGCUUAGAAUGGACAAGGGCCUGGAUCUGAGCACUGCUAAAAAGAGUUUAUUGGUUAGCUAAGGGUAGGGGGAGGAAGAGAUGAGGAGUAACUGCUAAGGAGUAUGGGAGUUCUUUUUUGGGGUAAUGAAAGUGUUCUUAGGGCCAGGGAUUUAGCUCAGUGUUUCCAUCACCUGCCUUGUAAGCACAAGGUUCCGAGUUUGAUCCCCAGUACCCCCAAAAAAAGUGUUCAUGUGAUGUUUGCACAACAUUGUGAAUAUAUUUUAAAACUACUAAACUGCACACUUUAAAAAAGGCCAACUGGUGAAUUUCAUGUCAAAUUUUAUCUCAAUUAAAGAUAAAUUUAAUUAUAAC
rnacentral:lncRNA from 1 species